UACGGGGGGAGCAAGCGUUGUUCGGAUUUACUGGGCGUAAAGGCGCGUAGGCGGCCAGCACAAGUCAGUUGUGAAAUCUCCGAGCUUAACUCGGAAAGGUCAACUGAUACUGUGCGGCUAGAGUGCAGAAGGGGCAACUGGAAUUCUUGGUGUAGCGGUGAAAUGCGUAGAUAUCAAGAGGAACACCUGCGGCGAAGGCGGGUUGCUGGGCUGACACUGACGCUGAGGCGCGAAAGCUAGGGGAGCGAACGGG
rnacentral:rRNA from 1 species